UCAAAGCUUUAUCAAAUCCUAGUCAAUCUCUAAAUAAGUCCUAACCAAAUCCUAGACAAAUCCUAGUCAAAUCCAAAAUAAGUCUUAACCAAAUUCUAGACAAAUUCUAAUCAAACUCUAGUCAAAUCUUAAUCAAAUCCUAAUCAAAUCCUAAUCAAAUUCUAAACAAAUCCUAAUCAAACCUUAAAUAAAUUCUAAUCAAAUCCUAGAGAAAUCCUAAAUAAGCCAUAACCAAAUCCUAACCUAAACCAAAUCCUAACCCUAACCAAACCUUAAAUCAAAUCCAAAUCCUAAUUCUAAUCCUAACCAAAACUUAAAUCAAUCCAAAAUCCUAAUCCUAAUCUUAAACCGAAUCCUAAUCAAUUCCAAGUAAUUCCUACAACAGAUUUAAAUCUCAAUAAUUAAUAAAUAAACC
rnacentral:lncRNA from 1 species